UCCUCCUCCGUAAUCUGCAAACAAAUACUAGAUAAAUGUAAAUUAAUUCAAAAAGAAAAAAAAAAGAAAAUUCGAAUUCAUUCCCUCAACCCGUUGAAACCGUUUCCCUCAAUCCCAUGAAUCUCUCCCAUAUCCCCCAACCCCUUUCCUCUAUAUUAAAUCUUCAGCCAUUAUUUCUUUUCCUCACCUAUCGUCUAUGCAAGCGAGAAUCAUCCUCAACUUCUAUCCAAGGUAAACUAUGAUUUAUCAUUUGUAUCUAAAUUCUCUCCUGUUUCAAAAUCUAACAUCAAUUGUUGCUUCCGGCAGUAAUCAAAAUCCUCCAGCUUCAAGAACCCGCCUUUCAGCCUUGUGAACUUCACAACCCAAAUCCAAUUCACGGAGGUGAAUCAUCGCAAGGAAAUCGUGAUCGCAAAGGAAAGAGAGUAAUUUCAAUUUAAGCACUCGAGGUUGAGCGGCGACGAGGAUGUGGUGGUGUUGAG